CUGAAAUUAGAUUCAGUAACUUGAAAAAAUCUUGACUCUAGUCAAAAGCUGACUGGUUCAACUGUGGUUUCCAAAGCACUGAUAAUGGUGAGGCCUGUAGGGGAAACUGAUGACACAGCAAAAAAGCAGCAAUGAGUGCUCAUACAGCAUCUGGUAUGCAAUCACAUGCCAUGGCCCUCUUGUCUUCUCUUUCCCUGCACGCACUCAGAGAUAGAAAGAAAGAGAGAUUGAGAUGGAAGAGGCAGAGAAAGAAAGAGUGGAAUCAGACAAGAAGAAAGUGAUGAAAAUGGACACAAGGUUUUGGUGGAUGCUGAGAAGUUAGGAGCAGCCUUACUGUUCCUAGAAAAGCUACUUGUUGCUUGCUCCCUGGUGCUUGUCCAACUGCUGAUACCGCCGUCAGCAGCAGUGAAACGAGGGAAGAAAAGUGUUUUCUUUUCAUUCCUUUUAAUAAAAAAGAUGCUGGUUUUUAUGUUUUUCCUAAUUUUUUUUCUCCCUUUUAGCACUUGCUUAUUUGCUCAAAUAAAGUCAGGACGGUGCCUCCAGUGCCAUAGCUAUCUGCAAUUAUUUGAUUGGACUGGCGAUGGUUGAUGUGCUCAACAUAGGCCACUCUUAUUUUGGUUGCAAGUCCCAUUCAUCUUUUAAGCCAUCCAAUUGAUGAUAAGAUGCAAGGAGAGAGGAAACAACACUGACAAAUGGGACCUCAGUUGAUGAGUGAAUGAUUGAGGUUUUUUAUGCAAGUUUCUGUUGUCUAGGGUGGGUGGAGGAAAGAAUCCAACUAUCGUUAUGCUAAUUGGAGAUGUCCAUUGUUACUCUCUGUAUGGAAUAUGCCUCCAUUUUCGUUCAUCUUUGACAAUAACCAAAAACAGCAACUUCUAUGUUGCAUUUUAUUGUCACUUUAUUAUAAUUUGUAUUCAAUUUACCAAAAUUGCUGCGUAUUCAGUAAUGCUUUUACUCUUAAGCUUGAGGAUACAUUAAUUGUCUGUGAAUAUGAUUAGUUAAUGCAUAUUGCUGCACUGAUGUCUUGAUUUUCACAUUGUCUGUGUUGUGUGCAGAGAUGCUCAUCUCUGGCCAUGCUGUGCUUGGCCAUAGUUUACCAUUCUGAGGGACGGCCAUGUUGUAAGGCGAAACAGAAGGAGGACAAAGAAAGGACCAGAGCGGAGUUUUCUCAGGUACACAUCGGGACAAAGACUAUAUUCAUUGCAUUAUAAUUCAAGAGUUUCCCGUAAUGCUUAUCCAAAACUAGGGCUCAUGGUCAUCAAUUGUAGGAGAUAUGAAGUAAAGACAGUCUUUUCGGAAGUAUACUAAG